GAAUCAACCCAUCUAAUAGUGCAUGGGUAACGGAGUCAUUGUGUCGCUGUGGCCACAUUGAUUCGAUCCCAUCUUGUCGCUUUGGCCUUGAUGCGGAUCACCUUGCUUGGGGGGGGGAUACUGGCGGUACACGGGUGUUCAGCCAUACUCUCUUCAGGGGGGAGUACUGGUGAGACAUGCCUGAUUACGUCAGUCACUCCCAGCAACGCCCUUCAAACAAGGAAUAGGGUUCCGU
rnacentral:lncRNA from 1 species